rnacentral:lncRNA from 10 species
CUAGGUGCUGCCUCACUCCUCUCCAAGUGGCUUACUUCAUUGGAAAAUGUGGGAGAAGAAACCAUCAUACUCAGCUCAUCACAUCUGCCUCUCCUUUUGGACCUGGCCUGCCUGCAGGGCACCCAUAUUCUCUGCAACUAUCAUGGGAGCUUCGCCUUUGUUGCCCACGCUGGAGUGCAAUGGCAUGAUCUCGGCUCACUGCAACCUCUGCCUCCCAGGUUCAAGCGAUUCUCCUGCCUCAGCCUCCCAAGUAGCUGGGACUACAGGCAUGCACCACCACACCCGGCUAACUUUUGUGUUUUUAGUAGAGAUGGGGUUUCACCAUGUUGCUCAGGCUGGUCUCGAACUCGCGACCUCAGGUGACCUGCCUGCCUCGGCCUCCCAAAGUACUGGGAUUACAGGCAUGAGCCACUGCACCCAGCCUAAAUUGUUCUUUCUUAAUGCUUUGUUCCCUUUUGGUAUCUCUUAAAACUCACUUCUCACAAUGUAAAUGCAGCAUGAGGAGCUAAAAUCCUGACAAGGGAUAGCAUAUAUUUGUCUGGCCUUUCCCUCUACUCAGAUUUCUCUGGGACCUAUAGAAGUGUUGUCUGGUCAAGAAUAUUAGUUACCAUAUGACAGACUUUUGCACUUUUGCCUUCCCUUUUCUUCAUCCUGGGGAUAUCUCAUCACAUCACCCACUGCUCAAAGGGCAUGAUAAAUUCUAGCCAGGCAAAGCCCCCAUCGCUGUACCAAAGGAGCUAUAUUCUCCUCCUAACCUAAAUAGUGAAUCAGUGUAACAUAAACUUAUAUGACUAGUAAAAUGGUUGCUGCUAGCUGACCAGCGGUCCUGUCAGGGAGUCAUGCAUUGUCGUGGUCUUUCAAAUCAACUUAAGGUAUGAAUUAUACACAAUAAAGUGCACCUAUUUCUUAUAUUUAUAUGUGAAUGAGAUUUGACAAAUGUAUAACCUCUAUAACUACCACAGUCAUCAAUACAUUUCCAUCAUCCCAAAAAGUUCCCUUGUCCCCUUGGUAGCAAAUUAUCGCCACCCUAGUCCCCAAGCAACCACUUAUCUGUCACUUUAGUUGAGUUUUUGUCUUUGCUAAAAUUUCGUACGUUUGCUUUUGUGUAUUUUCUUUCAUUCAGUUUAUUUUUGAGUCAUUUAUGUGUUACAUGUUUAAGUACUUUGCUCUUUUUUAUUGCUAAGUAGUAAUCCAGUGUGUGAAUAUACUAUAAUUUGUUUAUUUAUCAACCUAGUCAUAGACAUUUGAGUUGUUUGCU